ACUCCUUUCUUUUCCUUUCAUUCAGAGCAGCUCCAUUCUUUGUUACAUAAUGAGUUUCUACUCAAGAUUCUGUUUGGAAAAGGCAAGGUUCUGUGGCUAAAAACUGUGAGAGCUGUUGAAUUAGAUGACUGUCAUCUCUUCCAAUCUGGGAGGCCAUGUGUAUCUUUUACUGAGUGGUAUUUUUUAAAGUUCCUGGGUAACAAGUGAUGAUCUCUAGCCUGAUGAAAACAUAAGUAUUCUAAGAAUGAAAUGCUUUGUAUACAAAUGUCAACUAAAGAAUACUGACUUCCCAAUAUGGGGAGCUAUGAAUGGGGAGUCGAAUUUUUUAAAUAAUUUACUUCCUUCUGUUCCAAGUCCUUUGGCUUAGUCACAGAAAUAACAGACAGUAAGAAAGACUGUGGCUGGGGAUAACAAGAGUAUCAUGGUAACCAAGGAACAGAAGACAUGAGUGAGAGGAGACUGGAGAUGAUGGGUCAGAAUCAGUGUGUCUCCAGCUGAGGAUAUUCUCAAGAGUACUGUUAAAAAAAGACCUCAAAGGUAAACUUGACCAGUGGGGUGUGGGUAACAGGAAUGGAGAAGGAAGCAUGUAUUUGAGGCAUGUACUUUUGAAUAAAUCCUUAGGUUUCCUAGCAAAAAAUCAGAUAAAGAAAAGUACCUGCUAGUCUAUUUUUAAGUAUAGAUUAAGACGAAAGAAAUAGCACUCGUGAGAGAGAAUACAGUUUAGGAAGCCAGGUAUUUCAUCUGCUAAACAGGAAAUAACUCACUGGAUUACCAAAGAUUACCAAAAAGGAAGUAUACCUUUGCUUCAUGUUUCACUACUACUUCGACAACAUCAUUAUGAGCUUUCUCAGAUGCCACGUGUAGAGGAGUCAAGAAUCUUAAAAAGAAAAAGUCAGCCAGACAGUGAAUAUAUUAUCCAAAAAAUAAAAGGUUAAUUAAUGAAACACCCCAAAGGUUGGAGUUUCUUUACAUGAAGAAAUAAAAGACACUCAUCAGCUCUGGAGGCUGCUUGGUAACAGCACGGAUCAAAUAGCUGCCAAGAUUAGUAUUUACUUCUUUCUCAACUAGUUGCUUCAACAGAAUAAGGAGCUUGGAUUAGUCAAAAUCAAUGGGAGAAGAUGAAAUGCUCUACAAUGAAGGCUGUAGCAUCUAUAUCUAUGAUACGUCAAAGAGGAAAGGAGUCAGGAAGUGGGGAUUUGCCAGUUAUAAACCUAGUAUGUAUCUCAUGGUCAUGUCCCAAAAUCUUUGCAUCUCUAAUAUCCAGGAUAAUACUCCUAUACAAUAGGUGUUCAACAAAUGUCUGAACAUGUGAAUGACGAGAUCAAUGUAAAGAUACUAAGUUCAAUUGAAGCCUGAGAAUUCAUGGAAUAAAAGUUCUGGAUAACUGUUAAGCUAAGUUGUUCUAUAUAUCUAAAUUCAAAGUACAUAUGAAAUUUGUUCUCUUACUUUAACCUAUUAAUUAUAAAGCUUAUCUGAUCUUCA